GGAACUCAUGAACUCAACAGAUUGUCCCACCUCAGCCUCUCAAAGUGCUGGGAUUACAGAUGGAGUCUUGUUGUCUCCCAGGCUGCUGGAGUGCAAUGGUGCAAUCUCGGCUCACUGCAACCUCUGCCUCCUGGAUUCAAGCGAUUCUCCUGCCUCAGCCUCCCAAGUAGCUGGAAUUACAGCUCAAAGCACCUGUCAUAAAAAUAUUAACUUGUAAUAAAAGUGUUUAGUAACACUAAUAUGUGAUGGCAGUUUCAGGAAAGUCAAUGUUCUGAGCAAGAAGAACAAGGAACAGAAGGUAUAAUGAUAACAGAUGAGAGAGGAAAAAGCAGACUCAAUCAACUCCUACUUUUCCAUCAUUUUUCCGUUACAGAGAAUUAUCCUCAAAUUAGAAGGAGUAGGACCUACAUGGUAAAGAAAAAAUUUACGUGCAAGGCAGAUGAGGAAGUAGGAGAGCAUCCAGCCCCUUCACACAACUUCAUUCUCUGUCUUACCGAAAGAAUGUGAAAUGUGGUGGUAGCUUUACUGGGGACAGGAGAGGUGCCAGAAGUUUGAAGAUGGACUAAUCUCCUUGUUUUCUAAAAGAAGAACCUAUAAGUCUCUGAGCACAUUUUUCUUUGGCAAAAUU
rnacentral:lncRNA from 1 species